rnacentral:rRNA from 1 species
AUGCAGUCGAACGGCAGCACAGAGGAGCUUGCUCCUUGGGUGGCGAGUGGCGGACGGGUGAGGAAUACAUCGGAAUCUACUCUGUCGUGGGGGAUAACGUAGGGAAACUUACGCUAAUACCGCAUACGACCUACGGGUGAAAGCAGGGGAUCUUCGGACCUUGCGCGAUUGAAUGAGCCGAUGUCGGAUUAGCUAGUUGGCGGGGUAAAGGCCCACCAAGGCGACGAUCCGUAGCUGGUCUGAGAGGAUGAUCAGCCACACUGGAACUGAGACACGGUCCAGACUCCUACGGGAGGCAGCAGUGGGGAAUAUUGGACAAUGGGCGCAAGCCUGAUCCAGCCAUACCGCGUGGGUGAAGAAGGCCUUCGGGUUGUAAAGCCCUUUUGUUGGGAAAGAAAUCCAGCCGGCUAAUACCUGGUUGGGAUGACGGUACCCAAAGAAUAAGCACCGGCUAACUUCGUGCCAGCAGCCGCGGUAAUACGAAGGGUGCAAGCGUUACUCGGAAUUACUGGGCGUAAAGCGUGCGUAGGUGGUUAUUUAAGUCCGUUGUGAAAGCCCUGGGCUCAACCUGGGAACUGCAGUGGAUACUGGAUGACUAGAAUGUGGUAGAGGGUAGCGGAAUUCCUGGUGUAGCAGUGAAAUGCGUAGAGAUCAGGAGGAACAUCCAUGGCGAAGGCAGCUACCUGGACCAACAUUGACACUGAGGCACGAAAGCGUGGGGAGCAAACAGGAUUAGAUACCCCGGUAGUCCA